UAGUUGUGGGUAACCCGGCACAAAAUUUUAGUAUGCGAGUGUACUGGUUAAUAUUUUUGUCAUCACAGAGGCCACAACAUUCACACAAGUAUGCAGGUGGCGCUAUUGUUUUUCCUCCGUGUUCUGUGAUGGCGGUCGUAUGUGCGGGGUGCUACGAGCGUCGCGUUUGUUUGAUCGUGUGUUUUUGUGUUUGCUGCUAUGAAGUAGGUCGCAGUUAGCGUGCACAGAAGUGCCUGAAGAUACCUUGUGUCACGCUGCAAACUCGCCGUAUGCGUGGCGCGCCAGGCAAAUGUGGCCCAACGAUUUUAUGCCGUGGAGUGCGGUCUCUUUGUUCUCGUUCUGGAAAGUUGGGUGGACGUCGCAAAGAAUGUGUGUUAGCGCGCCUCAGCUCGUCCACUACGCAGCGGCAUGUAUGCGGGGAGUAACAUCGUCGACGCAGCACCGGCAACUUGGAGAGUGCUUCGCGACCGCGUCGUACCAUUCAAAAGUGGCGAGGCUGUGACCCAUAACAGUGCCUACAUAACGGAGGAGCCACCAGACCCCUUGGCUAUGCCUGCCGUAGUGCAACGUAUAAUCUGGAUGGUCGGGUCAGGUACACCUAGGAAAUGUUGUAUACAUUGGCAACGAUAACUGGGGCCUGUUCCAGUGCCAUCGCCGGGAUUCCCUGUUCUGCAAAGAACUGACAUAACUGAUGUGGGGAGCCCUGGCGCUCGGUGUAGGAGUAUCACAGGGGCUCCUUGUCGAUGCUUGAAGGACGGCAAUGCUGUUGAGAAGCCGACAUUGAGCCCCGAUAAAUUGG